rnacentral:rRNA from 1 species
GAUGAACGCUGGCGGCGUGCCUAAUACAUGCAAGUCGAGCGAACAGAUGAGGAGCUUGCUCCUCUGACGUUAGCGGCGGACGGGUGAGUAACACGUGUAUAACCUACCUAUAAGACUGGGAUAACUUCGGGAAACCGGAGCUAAUACCGGAUAAUAUAUUGAACCGCAGGGUUCAAUAGUGAAAGACGGUUUUGCUGUCACUAAUAGAUGGAUCCGCGCCGCAUUAGCUAGUUGGUAAGGUAACGGCUUACCAAGGUUACGAUGCGUAGCCGCCCUGCGAGGGUGGUCAGCCACACUGGGACGGUGACACGCCCCAGUCUCCUACGGGUGGCGCCCGUAGUGCUUCGUCCGCAAUGGGCGAAGGCUUGACCGCGCAGCGCCGCGUGCGUGAUGAGCAUCUUCGGGUGCGAGAUCUCUGUUAUUAGGUUGGAACAAGUGUGUGAGUGACUCUGCGCGUGUUUACGGUUCCUGGUCAGAGAGCCACCGCUAACUUCGUU